rnacentral:rRNA from 1 species
CAGCCGCCACGGGAACACGUAGGGUGCAAGCGUUAAUCGGAAUUACUGGGCGUAAAGCGUGCGCAGGCGGUUAUAUAAGUCAGAUGUGAAAUCCCCGGGCUCAACCUGGGAACUGCAUUUGAGACUGUAUGGCUAGAGUGUGUCAGAGGGGGGUAGAAUUCCACGUGUAGCAGUGGAAUGCGUAGAGAUGUGGAGGAACACCGAUGGCGAAGGCAGCCCCCUGGGCCAAUACUGACGCUCAUGCACGAAAGCGUGGGGAGCAAACAGGAUUAGAUACCCCGUAGUCCCUGUCUCUUAUACA